CUUAACAGUUAGCUGCGCGAGUGCUAAAUGUUGCUUUUAAUUAAACAAUAAAGAAUGCAACACCCUUUCUGGUAUCCUUAUAAAUUUUGAUGUGAUACAACAACUUGAUUCUUUAAAAAUUAAUUGCCUAGGAGUAUGUUUAAGUAGUAUUGAUUAUGUUAGUACCUCGUGUUGCUCUGUGAUACUUAACCCAACAUUUAAAAUAUCUUUUUUCCAUUAUAUGUUGUGAUGCAAGAAUAAAAGCAAAGUACAAAACAAAUAGGCACUUGAAUUCUAAUAGCAAUAAGCAAUAAAUGUCAGGCAUCUGGAAAUUAUGGUUGCAAUUUCAUCAGAGUACACUUUGUUCUUCUAUUAUGCCUGCAUGAAUUUUGCUACAGGCAAAAUCUAUUACAGAUAACAGUUAAGAACCUUUCUAAUCUACACAGAUAGUCAUGGCAAAAUGUUGGAAAACUAAAUGUUGGAAAAUGUAAUAUUGCAGGGGAAAAUUGACACUUGUAGAAAAUAAUGUGGGCCCAUUUAGAACCACAAAUGGUAAUCAUUUCUUUAAGAUCAUAGUGUGGUAGAGGUUUCUGAGCUGGGUGACCCAGUUGAAGGACACAGCCCUGGGAAUGAAUCCUGUGCUGCUGCCUGGGGUGUGCAUGUGCAGAAAACGUGUACCAACCUCCAUCAACGGUAGACUGCAGAGUUCAGCGCAUGCUUCCCAGAGAGUUCCUCCUUCCCUACUGGGCUUUAAGAAGCUUCUCAGGAGGGAAUUAACCCCUUGGGUCUCGGAUAAACACAUCUCUUGCGGGACAGUAACUGUCAAAAGCUGGUACUGACACUGGAGACAAAAGAACUUCUUGGGGAGCACAUGUCAUCCUUAUGCAGCUCUCGCAAACAUCUGAUCAUUUCUUGUUCCUGCUGUCAUUGGUGAUACUGAUUGUGGUGUUAUUGGGACUCUACCAGAGAAACAGAAUGAUCGGAUAUAUGUACCGACCGUCAAGGACACUUCCCAAAUCCCCACCUCCACCCAUGACAUCUAGAUGGGAGCAUGUGGCAGAUUGCAGCCAAUGGAAUAUAGGCAGAAGUGACAUACACAUCACCUCCAGAUCUGGCCAGAGAACCCUCUGUAGAUGCUCCCAACCCCUUUUCUUCCCCACAGCUGUGGGAUGA
rnacentral:lncRNA from 1 species